rnacentral:rRNA from 1 species
UUUCCCUCAGGAUAGCUGGAGCCCAUUACGAGUUCUAUCAGGUAAAGCCAAUGAUUAGAGGCAUUGGGGACGCAACGUCCUCGACCUAUUCUCAAACUUUAAAUAGGUAGGAUGGCGCGGCUGCUUCGGUGAGCCGCGCCAUGGAAUCGGGUGCUCCAAGUGGGCCAUUUUUGGUAAGCAGAACUGGCGAUGCGGGAUGAACCG